UACCAGCUCUCCGAGUGGUGUGGAUGUUUAUUGGGCCUAAAGCAUCCGUAGCUGGCUGGACAAGUCCCCUGUUAAAUCCACCGAUUUAAUCGUUGGAGUGCGGGGGAUACUGUUCGGCUAGGGGACGGGAGAGGCAGACGGUAUUUUCGGGGGUAGGGGUGAAAUCCUAUAAUCCCGGGAAGACCACCAGUGGCGAAGGCUGUCUGCUAGAACGCGCCCGACGGUGAGGGAUGAAAGCUGGGGGAGCGAACCGGAUUAGAUACCCGGGUAGUCUCAGCUGUAAACGAUGCAGGCUAGGUGUUUGGACGGCCACGUGCCGUUCUAGUGCCGCAGGGAAGCCGUUAAGCCUGCCGCCUGGGGAGUACGGCCGCAAGGCUAGAAACUUAAAGGAAGUUGGCGGGGGAGCACCACGAAGGGGUGAAGCUUGCGGUUU
rnacentral:rRNA from 1 species